GGGCUUUAUAGGGUAAUACAAUGGGGGUGUGCUAUGUUCAAUUACCACAGCAAGCACUUUACUUUGGGUUGGUCAAGUAAGGAAUAACCAAGAGGAA